rnacentral:rRNA from 1 species
AACGAACGCUGGCGGCAUGCCUAACACAUGCAAGUCGAACGAGACCUUCGGGUCUAGUGGCGCACGGGUUCGUAACGCGUGGGAACCUGCCCUUAGGUUCGGAAUAACUCCCCGAAAGGGGUGCUAAUACCGGAUAAUUUCUUCGGACCAAAGAUUUAUCGCCUUUGGAUGGGCCCGCGUUGGAUUAGCUAGUUGUUAGGGUAAAAGCCUACCAAGGCGACGAUACAUAGCUGGUCUGAGAGGAUGAUCAGCCACACUGGGACUGAGACACGGCCCAGACUACUACGGGAGGCAGCAGUGGGGAAUAUUGGAAAAUGGGCGAAAGCCUGAUCCAGCAAUGACGCGUGAGUGAUGAAGGCCUUAGGGUUGUAAAGCUCUUUUACCCGGGAUGAUAAUGACAGUACCGGGAGAAUAAGCGCCGGCUAACUCCGUG